rnacentral:lncRNA from 1 species
ACCAAUUGAAAAGACUAUUGAAGAGGAAACCUGAGAAAGACAUUUUAAAUCUCUGUUAGACUUUACCUCAGCUUCUGUUGCCCUGAGUCUGAACUAUGGCCAAGGGGCCAGGCCAAAACCAGGGAAAAAGAGAAGACAAGAAGUAAAGGGGAGCUGGAAAGAGAAGGGUCAUGUUGGAGGAGUGAAAGAGGCAAAGUCCAACAACACUAACAACUGUCUUGGGAAAUAUUGAUAACAGUUUGAAUUUUAUGGUACUUCUCUUUCAAAGCGUUGUAAGGGAGGAAUUAAUCCAAUGUGAAUAGAAAGCAACUUCCGACAGAGAGCAUCUGCAGAGAAAGCAUAGGGGAUUUACAAGAAAAAACAAAAACAAAAAUAAAACUCGAGAUUCCAGUCA